rnacentral:rRNA from 1 species
AGGACGAACGCUGGCGGCGUGCUUAACACAUGCAAGUCGAGCGGUGAUCCUCCUUCGGGAGGUGAUCAGCGGCGAACGGGUGAGUAACACGUGGGCAACCUGCCCCUCACACUGGGAUAACCUCGGGAAACCGGGGCUAAUACCGGAUACGACCUCGAGCGGCAUCUCUUGAGGUGGAAAGCUCCGACGGUGAGGGAUGGGCCCGCGGCCUAUCAGCUUGUUGGUGGGGUAAUGGCCUACCAAAAGCGACGACGGGUA